rnacentral:rRNA from 1 species
AUGUCGGCCUUCUCCAUGCAGGACAACGAGCUGUGGAAGCGGCGCCUACUGAACCUGGUCAUCCAGGCAACAGUAGUUGGCUACGUUGUGGGCAAGUCCUCUUGGUCGGACCCCCCGCUCAAGGCGGCGUUGGUUCUCGUGUUCGUCUCUGGGUUCUGCAAGUACGCGUUCCGUACUUUGUACCUCUACCUUGCGAGGCCAAAGUUUCUGAAGAGCCCCACAUCAUGGUGGAUGUUCGGGCAAGGAAGAACUUCCUAUGAGCACAAGAGGGAAAGAGCCAUAGAAGACACGCGGAAAAUUCUUGAUAGGUUGUCCAAAGGCAGUACAGAGCGUCCAGAGUUCAUGCAGGCCUUGAGUCUCACAACUGACAUCAUGGCAGGGGAUGCUCCCCUCAACACGGUGCGGAGCAUCACCUUAGCUGAGACUGGGAAGCUACCAGACAUGCUCAACGAUUUCCUGUCUCGUGAUGACCGCCAGAAUGCCUACGAGCACGUGGGAACACUUCUUGUACAGUGCUACUCACGACUCUACACCAAAGGUUAUCUUCGAGAGAUUUUGGCUGAUAGUUGGCGUACGGGCGUGUGGGGUUCAUCAGUUAGUUCAGGAUGGGUAUCUAAAAUAUUUAGUGUUGUUCAAUUUAUCUGUGUUUACAACCUUUACAAGGGACCCACCCUCUUCACGUAUGUCGCAAUCGCGAUAGCCCUGGUGCUCUUCACGGCCGCCGAAAAGGGGGACCCACUACUCCAUAGUAGAAGAGGUAGAGUUGAUAUCAUGGUGUCCUACCUGCUGCUUGUGGGAGCAGUAGUGCUAGAUGUGUCAUCUUUUGUCAGCUUCAUUUUCUCCCGCUUCAGUGCCAAAUGCUGCUCCAAGAAGAAACUGUGGUGUCAAAAGCUCAACCAAUACAACAUGAUCAAUAGUGCAAAGGUAUCCAGAAAUUGGCUUACAAGAUAUAUAUGGGAAAAGUGUGUCUUAAAAGGUGAUGCAGACCUCAGUAUGCCCGUCAAGAAGUUCAUCCUCGACACUUUGCUAGCCUCGGGAACAAGAAAAGAAUGGAACAUUGCCAGCACCCGUGGCCAGCUAGCGCUUCAUCACCGCAAGGCGACCACAACCACACUAAGAGCACUUCAGGAGAGCGUCAGGACCGGUGUUGAUUUCCCAAGAAGCGUGCUCAUAUGGCACAUUGCAACAGACAUCUGCUUUCAUUACUCCGGCGACAAGGAUGCCACCACCACUUAUUCUACUGAUGGAUUGUUGAAGAAACAUUGCUAUAAGCAGAUGAGCAGAGAGCUCUCAAACUACAUCAUGUACCUUGUCUUCAAGUGCGGUGUGAUGCUUACUACCUACUCCCAUGUUGUACAUAACAAAACCCUAGAUGAAAUUGCAAAAAAAUUAUCAGGCUCUCUACGACAGGAUGUUAAUCCAGGUGAUCAUAAGGAUGCUGUCAUCAUGAAGCUUCUUCUUUCUGAAGAGAUCAAGAUAGAGCGCGAAGAAUCAAAGGAACAAGUUGAAACAAGCAAGGUCGAGCAUGAAGGAGAAUCCAACAAGGAGGAAGAUCGACAUGAAAUUGUCCAGAUAGAGCAUGAAGAAUCAGCGAACGAUGACAACAACAAUGCAGCUGCCGAGGAUCACAUGAAGAAACUCCGUCAGAGUGCUGAAGCUAUAUAUUGUUCUCCAGUGCUGCCCCGUGCACGUGAGGUGGCCCAGGAGCUGAUUAGCAUCAAGGAUGAAGCUAAGCGCUGGGAACUCAUUGCUGCGGUGUGGGCGGAGAAGCUUUACUACACCGCGCCACGUUGCGGGGCUGCUUUCCACGCCGAGCAUCUAACCAAGGGUGGCGAGUUCGUCACUCAUGUUUUUGUUCUCAUGUAUUUGCUUGGUCCUUUCAUGCCACCCCCUGGUGCUUGA